rnacentral:rRNA from 1 species
CAGCAGUCGCCACGGUAAUACGGAGGGUGCAAGCGUUAAUCGGAAUUACUGGGCGUAAAGCGCACGCAGGCGGUCUGACAAGUCAGAUGUGAAAUCCCCGGGCUUAACCUGGGAACUGCAUUUGAAACUGUCAGGCUGGAGUCUUGUAGAGGGGGGUGGAAUUCCAGGUGUAGCGGUGAAAUGCGUAGAGAUCUGGAGGAAUACCGGUGGCGAAGGCGGCCCCCUGGACAAAGACUGACGCUCAGGUGCGAAAGCGUGGGGAGCAAACAGGAUUAGAUACCCCAGUAGUCCCUGUCUCUUAUAA